UCCAAUCGAACUCGGAGAUAGCUGGUUCUCCCCGAAAUAGCUUUAGGGCUAGCGUCGGAUAUGUGUAGUGGAGGUAGAGCACUGAAUGGGCUAGGGGGCAUAUCGCUUACCGAACCUUAUCAAACUCCGAAUGCCAUAUACAUUUAGUCCGGCAGUCAGACUACGAAUGAUAAGAUCCGUGGUCAAAAGGGAAACAGCCCAGAUCGUCAGCUAAGGUCCCAAAGUGUAAGUUAAGUGGAAAAGGAUGUGGGAUUUCUAAGACAACUAGGAUGUUGGCUUAGAAGCAGCCACUCAUUUAAAGAGUGCGUAAUAGCUCACUAGUCGAGAGAUCCUGCGCCGAAAAUGUCCGGGGCUCAAACUUACCACCGAAGCUACGGGCUUGCGUAAGCAAGCGGUAGGGGAGCGUCGUAAUCGGGCUGAAGUCGUACCGUAAGGAGCGGUGGACUGAUUACGAGUGAGAAUGUUGGCAUUAGUAGCGAGAUGUAGGUGAGAAUCCUACAGGCCGAAUAUCUAAGGUUUCCUCAGGAAGGCUCGUCCGCUGAGGGUUAGUCGGGACCUAAGCCGAGGCCGAAAGGCGUAGGCGAUGGACAACAGGUUGAUAUUCCUGUACCACUACCAUCGUUAUUAUCGAGGGUGUGACGGAGAAGGAUAGUGUGUGCUAGCGAUUGGAAAUGCUAGUCUAAGCGUUUAGGGAGUUACGGUAGGCAAAUCCGCUGUAACAAUUCUGAGGCGUGAUGGGGAAGGCCCUUGAGGCUGAAGUACAUGAUUCCAUGCUUCCAAGAAAAGCAUCUAGAGAGAGAAGUAGUGCCCGUACCGCAAACCGACACAGGUAGAUGAGGAGAGAAUCCUAAGGCCGGCGGAAGAAUUGCAGUUAAGGAACUAGGCAAAUUGACCCCGUAAGUUCGCGAGAAGGGGUGCCUGCGAGAGCAGGCCGCAGAGAAUAGGCCCAAGCAACUGUUUAGCAAAAACACAGGUCUCUGCUAAAGCGCAAGCUGAUGUAUAGGGGCUGACGCCUGCCCGGUGCUGGAAGGUUAAGGGGAACACUUAGCGCAAGCGAAGGUGUGAACUUAAGCCCCAGUAAACGGCGGCCGUAACUAUAACGGUCCUAAGGUAGCGAAAUUCCUUGUCAGGUAAGUUCUGACCCGCACGAAUGGCGUAAUGACUUGGGCACUGUCUCAACUGCAAAUCCGGCGAAGUUGUAGUGCGAGUGAAGAUGCUCGCUACCCGCGAUUGGACGGAAAGACCCCGUAGAGCUUUACUGUAGCUUAGCAUUGAAUUCCGGUAUUGUCUGUACAGGAUAGGUGGGAGACUGGGAAACUAGGGCGUCAGCCUUAGUGGAGUCAACCUUGGGAUACCACCCUGACAGUACUGGGGUUCUAACAGGACGCCAUGAAUCUGGUGACUGGACAUUGUUAGGUGGGCAGUUUGACUGGGGCGGUCGCCUCCUAAAAAGUAACGGAGGCGCCCAAAGGUUCCCUCAGAACGGUCGGAAAUCGUUCGUAGAGUGCAAAGGCAGAAGGGAGCCUGACUGCGAGACCUACAAGUCGAGCAGGGACGAAAGUCGGGCUUAGUGAUCCGGUGGUACCUCGUGGGAGGGCCAUCGCUCAACGGAUAAAAGCUACCUCGGGGAUAACAGGCUGAUCUCCCCCAAGAGUCCACAU
rnacentral:rRNA from 1 species